AUACCUUUCUCGGCCUUUUGGCUAAGAUCAAGUGUAGUAUCUGUUCUUAUCAGUUUAAUAUCUGAUAUGUGGGCCAUGUGUCCACUUUGAUAUUAAAUUAAUUUUUUGUGGGGGAGGGCUCGCCAUAGUGGCUUGCUACUAGGGCCCUCGAGCGUCGUCCAGGCGUUGCACUGCUGCCUGGGCCUGGCGCAACCCAA
rfam:Leersia perrieri chromosome 3, whole genome shotgun sequence.